GUGGCUGUGGCUCAGUGGUAGAGCUUUUGCCAAGCAUGAGUGAGACACUGGGUUUGAUUCUCAGCACCACA
rnacentral:tRNA from 1 species